rnacentral:tRNA from 1 species
GCAGUGGUAGUUCAGUGAUAGAAUUUUUGUCUUCCAUGUGCAAGACCCAGGUUUGAUUCCUGGCCAGUGCA